GCCGAAAUAGCUCAGUUGGAGAGCGUUAGACUGAAAGAUCUAAAGGUCCCUGGUUCGAUCCCGGGUUUCGGCA